rnacentral:lncRNA from 1 species
UGGCUUUGUCGUUGGGCCAUUUCUCGAUAUGGGCCUUAAUUCGAGUCAAGUCCGUUCUCGUUCUUGGAAUAUUUUAGAUUGGGCUUUUUCCGAAGCCCGUUUGGAUGGGAGCAGAUCCAUCCCCUAACAGUCUAACACUAACAGCAAUCUAGAUUUAAAAAGAAAGAAAGAAACAGAGUUAUAAAUCCGUAGUUAACAUCCUAAUUCAUUCAAUUCCUAAACCCUUCAAAACCACUAAACUCAGUUGAAGAACUACUCACACAUAAUAAACAUCAAAGCAUUAGAAGAAACCAUGGAAAACAUUAUUACAUUGACAAAGGUAGAUAAGAGGUUCGAAGAUUUCUCCAAAGUGCUGUAAUUUUGUGAGAUCUCCUCCCUAAAGUUCUUAGUUGCAAAACUAGGUUUUGAACUCAAUAAAAUAAAAGUUAGCCUAACUAUAUAGAAGAAACAGAGGUUUUGAAAAAAGAAAUUGCAUUUGGGACAACCCGGAUAACUUAGUCAAAUUGAGGCAGUACCUGUUUUGGCCAAAGGAUGGCAUGCCAAUACCCUUGUCGUGUGGUACUCUUUGUUUUGCAUAAUACAAGUGGUGCAGGUCUGGUACUCGUCACAUCAAGAGGCAAGCCAACCGGCAUCCUUUCCUACUACGAGUAGUCUGAUGCUCCAAGCCUCCAAAGUCCAUAUCUUCAAAGUUUUUCCAUGUUGGCUCUUUUUUUUGCUCCAAACUCCAUCGCAAGUCUACCAUGAACUCCAAAUCCCGGGAUCUAGAUAAACAUUCAUAAUAAACCAAGUGUGCAGUCUCACCGAGUUAAUAUCGAUUAUGAAACAACCUAAACUAAAUGAAGAAGUGGUUAUAAAGUAUUUCGGACUUCCAGAAGUUUAGAAGUAUGCAAAAUAUUAUGUGAAACCGCAAGAGAAACUAUAUCAACUAGUAAAUUACACAGCUUGCUGAUCCACUGAACUAAUAUAAUCACCAAAACAGUAAAUUCCUUUCAAAGAUUAUGCUUCAUUGAGCUCUUUUGCAUAAGCAUGCACAUAAUGAUAAUAAGGAGAAUACAUGUGGUUAGAAAAAAGAAAAAGAAAAAAAAAAAGGUUGGAAAAUGGAAGUGAUACCAAAAAAAAGUUUAUUGUGGCCAGUGUGAGAAGACUAUAUAUAUAACCUCAAAUACAUUGAUGUCAACAAAAAAAACUGUAUAUGCCUCAAAAUACGUUUAUAAAUGAACUAGUAAAGAUAGAAAAAGAAUGACAGAUACAUCUCCACAUGUCUUUGUGUUUGGACAGUGUCAAUUGUUUACAUGGACGAGUUUUUAAAGAGCAAUAUAAGUCUGGGAAGGUUCUCAAGAGCCACUGUGAAGAGGCCACCAAGAAUAAACAUCAAAACAAAUGCAAAAAAUAUUCUUCCAAUGUAUUUUAGACUCUGAUCUCCAAUUUCUGGUCUUGAAUCCUUUGUGUACUUUGAAUCUUUGGAAUCCUGCAAAAGCAAACCGCAAAACGCUGAAGCAUUUUUCUACAAUCCGAUUUGUAAAGAAUGGCCACAGGGUACAAACAUAACAAAAGCAAAAGGAUAUGAAACCAACACAGGAUCUCAAGCAAGAAAACGAGCUGAGAAACGUUAUGUGAUAAUUAAAAGAUUCUUAGUGAAAGAAGAAGCGUAUUGUCAAUUUACUAUCUUUUUUUUUUUUUUUUGUUCAAAGUCAAUUUACUAUCAAUCUAUGAUUCUAGCUCUCUUCACUCUACUUGAGCUUUGGCAUUGAAUAAUAUUCCCAGUAGAAGUUGGAAACAAAGGGUAAUCACGACGGCAUAAAGUAUAAAGAAAUUCCUAACACCAUCUUGCUAUGAAGUUACUAACAAAGUCAAGCUAAUUACCAUUGAUAUUACAGAAGGAAAGUGCUGUUGUAGAUUGUUUUUCUCAGUUCCUGCAUAAAAAAAAAGAAAAGGUUAGAAACAACAUAUUAACACAAGGUAAAGAAGUCCAGAUUGCAGUUUGAAAAAUUCUAUCACAUCGUAACCAUUCCCAUUGGUUUCGAUGCAUCACAAAAUGUAUACCACGAACAUCAGCAUUUGAAUCACCACAGUUAUAUUUCAUCCAAAACCAAGAGCAAAAUGCUUUUUGAAAUUUGCUCUUCCAUACAUAUAACAAGAAAAAGAAUUGUCACUAUGACUAUGAGUAGAGGUGUCACUAUGACUAUGAGCACCAUUUACAAAUCCAUAAGAUUAUUUGUAACUCCAUCACUAAACUAAACUUCAUAUGCACCAAUCACGAUUCUGUAACAAGACUUGUAAUCUAAAUCAUGAAAUUUGACAAGAACUAAAAUUACCAGGAAAAUCAGAAUCAACCACUGUCUUCAACUUCCAACCAUGUCCGUAAUUGACAAGACAAGCAUCAUCACCAAAACUGAUAGGUUCUUCACCAUCCUUUACUGCUUCAAUGAACACUACUCUAGGUUUUAACGAACCAAGUUUCUUGUUAAUCACAGAGACAGCAAAUUUCGCCUUUGUACCACUUGUGAAUCGGUAUUCCUUACCAGAAACUUCACAAAAAACUUCCAGAAACUAGGAUUCCACAAAUUCAACAAUGAGUUUAGCUAACACCACCGUUGAAAUCCUAAAAGAUUAAAGAGUUAAAGGAAACUUACGAGCGGUGGUUGAGAAGGAGAAGCUUCCAGUGAGCUAUUGUUCGCCAUCGGGCAGAGAGAAGGAAGAAUUACGAGAGAACAAUCUCGAAACCCUAAAUUAUGUUCAAUUCCCAGGAAGAUCCGGCGAUUCACUUGUAGAAGAGAUUGCGAGAGAGGUCAAAGCGUCGACGAUCUGGUAAGAGAGAAGAAAGAUUUGGAAUCUGGAAGAUGAUGAUGAGUCAACUUAGAUCCUUAAACCGAUCUAAACCGGUUUGGUGAAGCAUAUAACACGCAAUCGAAUUUAAACCGGAACUAGUUGACCCCAAAAAAAAAACUAAUUUCAUUUUAAACUUACUAUUAGGCCUGGGCAUUCGGAUUUCAAAUCGGAUUCGGAUCGGAUAUAUUCGGAUUCGGAUAAUUUGGGUAUGAGAGUUUAUUAUCCGUUCGGAUUUUAUGAUUUUUCGGUUCGGUUUCGGUUCGGAUAUAUUCGGAUUCGGAUAAUUUGGGUAGGAGAAUUUAUUAUCCGUUCGGAUUUUAUGAGUCAUCGGUUCGGUUUCGGUUCGGAUAGGUGUCGGAUUCGGAUCGGUUUUCGGGAAAAAAAACUUAAAAAUAGUUCAAUCUUAAUAAAAAUUGGUUUAAUCUUACUAAAAUUUGGUUAAAUUUUGCAAAAAUAUGUAUAAUUUUAACAAAUAUAACUAAAUUUUUUCCCAAAUCUAGGAUAUUUAGGAUAUUUUUGUUAUUUGCUAUAAAAUUACAACUAAAUAUAACUAAUAUUUUUGGAUAUAUAAUUUUUAUUUCCGGUUUUCGGAUAUCCUUUCGGUUUUCGGUUCGGAUCGGGUUCGGUUCGGGUAAUUCGGAUAGGAGAAUUCAUUAUCCGUUCGGAUUUUGUGACUAUUCGGUUUGGGUUCGGUUCCAGAUUUUUCGGAUCGGUUUCGAAUCGGUUUUCGGAUUUCGGGUUUUAUGUCCAGGCCUACUUACUAUAUUAAAAUUUUCUGGGAAAUAAUUUAUGUAUUUGAUUUUCUACACCUAAGAUCAUUUAAUAUGAGAGCAGGGGAUCAUUUAAUAUUUACCAUUAUCAUUAGGGUUACUGUUGUAAGCUUAAUUAAAGUUGCAAAUGUUGUGGGAUUUGGGUUUCGACCCACCACUUGUAAACCCAAGUUUGGGUUUUCCUUUUAAUGGAAAAAUAGUUGGCCGACAAAAAAAUAAAGAUAGUUUAAUAUUUUUUUUAAUGGGAAAAAUGUCAUUUAAAUCGUCACUUUGCCAUUUGUGGAGGUUUAAAGUAUGAACUUUGAGCAUGGUGCUUUUAAUCCUCAAUUUCUAGUUGACUUUCAAUUUAAUCUCUAACUUUCGUUGACGAAGCCGAUUGAGGCACGUCUUUAACUGGACAAACGGAGGAUUAAGACGCUGUUAUCUGUCCGUCUAAUAUAUCCGUUAAUAAGCGAAACGACGUCGUUUAAUCAAAUGAAAACUCCCAAAUUCGAUUAAGCUCGAACCCUAGAAUACCAAAUCGAAAUUAGAAAUACAAAAUCGAAGAUUCUCUCUCGUUUUCUUCUCUAAUCUCGAUUUCUUCUCAAAUCUCGAUCUCAUCUUUAUUCCUCAAGAUCUGUUAUCUCGAUUCCGAUGAGUUCUAGCUCUGAGACAUCAAUAGUACUCGCUGCCCGUGGAGUGCCUUCAAAGUGUGUGUGUGGGUUAGGUGUAAGGAUCUUUACAUCGAAAACUCAACACAUCUAUCUGNNNNNNNNNNNNNNNNNNNNNNNNNNNNNNNNNNNNNNNNNNNNNNNNNNNNNNNNNNNNNNNNNNNNNNNNNNNNNNNNNNNNNNNNNNNNNNNNNNNNNNNNNNNNNNNNNNNNNNNNNNNNNNNNNNNNNNNNNNNNNNNNNNNNNNNNNNNNNNNNNNNNNNNNNNNNNNNNNNNNNNNNNNNNNNNNNNNNNNNNNNNNNNNNNNNNNNNNNNNNNNNNNNNNNNNNNNNNNNNNNNNNNNNNNNNNNNNNNNNNNNNNNNNNNNNNNNNNNNNNNNNNNNNNNNNNNNNNNNNNNNNNNNNNNNNNNNNNNUUUCGAUUUGGUAUUCUAGGGGUCCGAGCUCAAUCGCAUUUGGGGGUUUUCAUUUUGAUUAAACGACAUCGUUUAGCUUAUUAACGGAUAUAUUAGACGGACAGAUAACAACGUCUUAAUCCUCCGUUUGUCCAGUUAAAGACGUGCCUCAAUCGGCAUCGUCAACGAAAGUUAGAGAUUAAAUUGAAAGUCAACUAGAAAUUGAGGAUUAAAAGCACCAGACUCAAAGUUCAUGCUUUAAACCUCCACAAAUGGCAAAGUGACGAUUUAAAUGACAUUUUUCCCUUUUUUUAAUCCCUUAAUGCUUAAUUUUUAUAAUUUCUUACACUUGCUUUCAUUACUUAGGCUGUAAAUGGUAACAUGGGUUUUGAGGAAUUCUUGAGGAAUUUUUGAGGAAUUAAAAUUGGUUACAUCAUUUGCAUGUUGAGGAAUACAUGAGGAAUUUGUGAGGAAUUGUUGAUAUUUCAAAAUUUUAUAUUUGUUUUAAGUUGUUAAAUAAAUUAAUCAAUUUAACUAUUAUUAAAACUAAAUGAUAAUUAAAUUAUAAUAUUUAAUUUAAUAAUAGAAGACUUCUACUAAAAGUUAUUAGUAAGGAAAAUUAUAAACUAGAAAAAUAAAAUAGUUUAAUUUUUAUUGAAAAAGUAACAAUUACUAGUUUAUUUUAUUAUUUUAUGCUUUUAUAUGAUAUUUACAUUUGAUAAAAAGAUUAAAUGUAUCACAUUCCUAAUAUUUUACAAAUUUGAACUUUUUUCAAAUUAACUUAUUAUCUCAUGUUUAAUAAAAUUAUUAAAUUAUAUAAAAUUUCAAGUUUAAUAUUUUCAUUUGUUUUUUAUUUGCUCUUGUUGACAAAAUAAAAAAUUGGAAUCUAUAUUUUCAUAUUUUUGUUAACUAAUUAAUUAAUUUUGAAAAAUUCAGCCAGAUUCAGCCGUUACCAUUUGAACUCGAAGAUAUUCAGCCAGAUUCCGCAAAAAAUCAUCAUUAAAUUCAGCCAGAUUCAGCAAUUCAGCUAAAUUCAGCUGGAUUCCACGGUUACCAUUUACACCCUUAGUUGUUUGUUUGUCUUGCUUAAUUUUACUUGUUAGUUAAUAAUCCUUAAAAAAUCCAAAAAACAACAAAACUCUUAAGAGUUUGAAUGGAUGUUGCGGGCGGAGCAUACUAAACCAUUAGUGACUAGACCAUUUUAUUUUUAAGACGGACAACAAUCUGUCGUGAUCAUCAAGUUUAUUUAUAUGUAAAAGCGGUAUGUAGUUGGUAUAUCGUGAUCAUCAAACAGAUUUGUCCAAACUCGAUAGGUAAAAAUAUCAUGAUGGAUUCAUUGUAUAUAUAUUUGGGGUCUUCAAACUGAAAACCGAAUGGGGCCAAACUACUAACAUAACAUUUUACCAGUGAACUUGUAAAUUAUUAUUUUUCAAGUUAAACUCCAUCAUAUCAAUAAUAUUAUCUAGAGUAAACUAACACAUUAUUGAUUAUUCUUUGCAGGGCCGGCCCAUGGGUAAAGCCCAUGAAGCAAGGGCUUUAGGCAUCAAAUAAUUAUAAGUAGUUUUAAGGGCAUCAAUUUUUAAAAUGUUACUGUGGUCUAGUAGUUAGAUUGAAGUCUUUUGUUGUACAGGUCAUGGUUUCGAAUCCCAUACAUGUUGAAACUUGUAUUUUUUUUUUAACAGCUUUUGUUAAUGGGCCAAAAAAAAUUUUGCUUUAGACACUCAAAUAGUUUGGGCCGACCCUGAUUCUUUGAAACAUUGACGAAAACUAAGAUUUAGUCCACAAUAAUUAACUGCAGAACUAACCUUCAACAAAAGAAUCAACUGAAAAUUCUUAUUCCUUGAAAAUUCAAUGGUCAAAAGUUUUCAUUUCUAAGACCAACCCAGCUUGCAAAUUAGACCUAAUAAAACCUUCCUCAUUCUCUCUUUUCCCCUAAUUUUGACCAACAAAUAUUGACUUAGAAAAAAAAAACCAUUACAUAUAAAUAAAAUCUCAUCCCAACCAACAAUCUUUAAACCCACGACGUAAACAAAAAAAGAAACCUUUAUUUUUGUUAGACAAGAGAUGGGUUUUUUAUGGAGAACGAGACUACGUGGAGCUAACGAGAAGAAGAUAACUCCGGUAAUAAGCUGGCCGGAAUCAGAACCGGAGUCAGAGAUAACAAUUCCACCGGAAUUUCAAUGUCCGAUCUCAAUCGAUCUAAUGAAAGAUCCGGUAAUAAUCUCAACAGGCAUUACUUACGACCGCGAAAGCAUCGAAACAUGGAUCAGUUCCGGCAACAAAACAUGUCCAGUCACGAACACUGUCUUAACCACGUUCGAUCAAAUCCCGAACCACACGAUACGUAAGAUGAUUCAAGGAUGGUGCGUGGAGAAAGGAUCACCGUUGAUUCAACGUAUCCCAACGCCACGUGUCCCUUUAAUGCCAUGUGAGGUCUACGAGAUUAGAAGAAAAUUAUCCUCUGCGACGCGGCGUGGGGAUUUCGAGAAGUGUGGGGAGAUUAUUGCGAAGAUUAAGAAAUUAGGGGACGAGAGUGAGAAAAAUCGGAAGUGUGUUAACGAAAACGGCGUCGGAUUGGUUCUUUGUGAUUGUUUCGAGAAGUUCUCGGGAGAUGAGAAAUUAACGAUUAUGUUGAAGGAGAUUUUGUCUCUGCUGAUGUGGAUGAUUCCGAUUGGGUCGGAGGGUAUUUCGAAACUCGCGUCUGCGUCUGCGUUUCAUUGCGUUGCGGGUUUGUUGAAGAGUACGGGCGAUACCGUUCGUCAAAACGCUGCGUUUUUGAUGAAGGAGAUUCUCUCAUUAGACGAAACGCGAGUUCACGCGUUUGCGGUUGAGAACGGUGUCGCGGAGGCGUUAGUGAAGUUGAUUCGCGAUUCGGUUUCGUCUAGCGCGACAAACUCUUCGUUAAUAGCGAUUUAUCAAAUGGUGUUGCAAAAGCCUGAGAUCGCGUCGGAGUUUCUCGAAAUCGGUCUAGUGAAUCUAACGGUGGAGAUGAUCGUUGACGCUGAGAAUAGCGUUUGCGAGAAAGCGUUAGCGGUUCUAGACGCGAUUUGUGAAACCGAAAAAGGGAGAGAGGAAGUGAGUAAAAACGAGUUGGUGAUGCCGCUUUUGGUGAAGAAGAUACCGAAGGUUUCUGAAUCAGCGACUAGGAGCUCAAUGUCAGUGAUUUUGAAAUUGUGUAAAACAGAAAACGCGUUUGCGGUUGAAGAAGUGGUCCGUUUGGGUGCAUUUCAAAAGGUGUUGCUUGUGUUACAAGUUGGGUAUGGAGAAGAAACUAAGGAGAAAGCAACUGAGUUGUUGAAGAUGAUGAAUACACAAAUGAAAUUGAUGAGUGAUUGUGUUGAUUCUUUAAAGGAGUUUAAGUAUAUCAAGAAGCCAUUUUGAUGUUUUAGGUUAGGGAGAAAUUCAAGAGUAUAUAUAAAAAAAAAAUUGAGGUAAACGACAGAUUAGAUUUCAACUAAUAAUACCAAAAACCUUUGAAAGAAACAUUGAAUCUUGGGGAUUACGCAAAUAUUUUGGGCCGCCAACAAGGGUUGAUUCUUGGUGAUCAAGUCUCUUCUCAUGAAUAUAAAACUCACUUAUCUUCUCUUUACUUCUUCAUCUCAUUAUCUCUCUCCCAAACAUUUCUUCUUACAUCUCAAAUUAUUUUUUAUAUAUUUCUCUAUAAUUAAUGGAUCGAGUGAAAUCUAAUUUCUGUUCACAUAUUCCUCUUAUUGGGUGUGUCAUGGACGUUCUGUUUCAAAUUUUUACAUCAGAUUCUAGAGAAGAAGACAAAGAAACUGUUGAUACUGGAAAUCUUGAAGCUCAGAAAUAUUUCAGACAACUACAGUGUAUUAAGCUCGGUUAAUUAGUCACUAAAAUAUAAUUAUGUAACUAAUCUCUCUAUUUUUGGUGUAAUUCUAAAAUCUAUCUAUUGCGCAAUAGUGAAAGUGUGAAACCAUAUAAUAACGUGAUAGUUCUGCUUUUGUGCCAAAAUGCUCUACAAGAACUCAAGUGAUUCUAUUUAAGGAUCGAAAUAGAAUCGAAGAUUCGAAUACUAUGUUUUCUCUGAGAUAGAUAUAUCAAUUGUGUUCAAAAUGCUCUAUACGAACAUUAAAAACUCAAAUGAAUCUAUGAGGAAAUGAUCAAGAAAAUCGAAGACUCGGUCUCUAUGUUUGAUCAGUAGUAUCACUGAUCAAAUACAAUUUCUGUCCAUCACUAAUCAUAUCAAUGUCUGUGAUACGACCUUCGUCUUCUGAUAAUAGUACAAAUGAGGCUUCAUCCGAUAGCCCGAGUUCUUGUGCAGCAGUUACUAUGAGUUUCUCGAGAUCGCUCGGGAUCCAAACCAUAACUCCGUGCUUUCUACUACGCUCUUCUUUCACCUCUUUCGGGUGGAAUGGAAAUACGGUGCAUUUCCGUCUCUCAGUUCUCUUCUCUGUUUUUCAAAAUAUAAAUCAAAUUCAUUGACUACAAGAUCCAUUUAGAGUUGUAUUUUCUGAAGAAAAGUAUUCGAGUAGUACCUUGUAGUUCAUGAGAGCUCGAUGGGUGGAUAGAAGAUUCAGAGGUUUUCACAUCUUCGAGUAACUUAAUCAGUUUCUUGUUUCCGCACAUUCGGGCUUCAUCAAGCGGAGAAUUCCCCCACCUACAAACAGAGGAUUUAGGAAGGUUAUUAAGUAAAAUCUUAAACAAUCUAAUAAUUCAUUUUCAUGGUUUUUACCGGUCUUUAGAAGUAACGCUUGCUCCAGCUUCAACCAACAUUUUAGCCAUCAAGUAUAACCCUUCAGAAGCGGUGACAUGAAGCGGUGUUCUAUGAUCAUAAUCUUCACUGUUUGGGUCCAUACCGUUUAAGAGCAGUCGCUUGAGAAAAUCAGAGUCGCCUUUCACAACUGUCGUGCAAAGGAAGUUUCCUGAAUCUUCUAAAUUAAAGGAGGCUCCUUCUUUGACAAGCAAACCAAUCACUCCGUCUUGUCCUGCUUUCACAGCCUCUAAUAAUGGCGUAUUUCCGAACUUAUCUGCGCAAAUUUGUCAUCAAAGUGUAAACAUAAAACAAUGAAAUGUUCUCCAUUAGAACGGAUACCGAUUAAUAUAUUACCUUUUAGAUUGAUAUCAACACCUUCUUGAAUAAGGAAUAAUGUAAUGUCUUCAUAGCCUCUACAUGCUGCAAGAUGCUGCAUAUGAAGAAGACAAUUGCAGGUUAUAAGAAAGAAUCAAUAGGAAGCUCUUACAAGAAAGAUAAUUGAUCAGCGAAAAACGUACAAGCGGUGAUCUUCCAUCGUAAUCUGUUUUGUUAGGAUCGGCUCCAGAUCGGAUUAAGCUCUUAAGCUGGUAAAAAUCUCCUUGGAAAGCUGCACUGUUUACUUUCAAUGCAAGUUCUGCUUCUUGUUUCCCAAUGUGAAUCACAAUGUCAGAUUCUAGCUUCUUUAUCCUCUCAUUUGAAUCCUUCUCCUGCCAAAAACCAAGAUUGAGUUCCAAGAUUUCUUAAUCGAGUUUAAACCCUAAGUAAGAGAUAAAAAAAGAGUACCUCCAUAAGAUUGUUCAAGAUUGUGCGUCCGUCGUGAAAAUAAAUCUCGAGAAUGCUCGAGAAAGACUGUUUAUCGAGUCGUAAAAGAUGACAUAGCUCGCAAACCCUAACAGUGAAAGGUUGAGAGAUGUUGCAAAUGAUGGAGAUAUCUCCAAAAGAAGUGUGAGGCCCAAGCAACGUCACACUCUCUUCUGAUCCAUCUGUUCUUGUAACAAGAGCCUCCUAUAAGAAGCCACAAAAAUUUACAAAGUGAGAAAUAGAGAAGAAGCAAAGAUAGACAACAACACAAUGAGAUAUUACGUACCAAUAAGCCUUCACAGACGAAAUACAAAUGAUCCACGACGUUUCCUUGCUCUGUUAUUACUUCUCCUGGAAGAAAAUACUCUUCAUGGAGCCUUAUAACUAUUUGAUUAAUAAACUCCGUAGAGCAGCCUUUGAAGAGAGGGACUUUCUUAAUGUAAGGCAGGUACAAUAAUUGCGCAAUCUGCAAGCAAAAUGUAUUGACUGAUGCUUUUUUUACAAUCAUACUAAACAAAUCUACUAUUAGAAGCCAUGAUCAGUAGCUCAGUUGAUGUAUUAGAAGCUAUUAUUAGGGUACCUUGGCGCGGAUAGAGGCAGGGAUGUCCUGAAGCAUGACAGUGUCGGUGUAGUGACUGUCAUACUGCAAUCUCACAUGACCGGUUAUCUGGCUACGAAGGUCUCUCCCGAGUUUUUUGCGGUUCAUGAAGCUUAUGAGAUCAUUCAUUUUAUCUCUGAACCUCUCUGUGUUUGAUCCUUUCACAAUCAAGGCAGUGAUGUUACCAAUAAGGUACGCACCGAGAACCAUGUCAAAUGAAACAUAUAUCAUCACGAAUAUCAUUUCCCUCAGAUUCACCGCGUGAAUGUCUCCAUAACCUGAAGUCAAAAACAAGACAAAAACAACCAUCAGUCUCUUUUGUAAUAACUAAUUAGAUGAACAUCAAAAUGGUAUUGGUUUUUAUACCGACAGUUGCCAUAGUGACAAUGGCGAAGUACAAAGCCGUGGUAUAACGUUUCCAGAGGUCGAUUUCUCGGAAAUUUUCGUAGCUAUAGUCUCCUAGCUUCAAGCUACCGAUCCAAGUGUAACCUUCGUUCUCUGGAGGAAGAGUGGUGGCCAAGUAAUAGAAGAUGCAAGCAGCAGUGUGAGUACAGUAAACUUCAACGAACAAGAGCUUUAAGAUUCUGGUGAAGAGAUAGUUGAUUCUUGUGUCUUUCUCAAGCCUUUGGAAAAACUCAACCACUUUGCGAACCCGAAAUAGCCUUAUCCACAACAAGUACCUCACCAACUCAUGUUUCCCUGAUGCCUACAAAAAGGUUAGGUGUUAGUAUAAACCAAACCAAACCGAAUCCGAACCAAAACAUAUUUAUAACCCUCUUGGUUUAUUAUUUAAAAAACCGAAACCGAAGUGAAACUGAUUUUAUUGUAACCUAACCAAAUAAGUAGAUAUUCAUUUGACUUUUAUUUUUAUCAAAUAGUAUGUAAUUAUAAUAUACUCUGUAAUAAAUCAUAUUAGAUAAUUAUAAAUAUUAGUUAAAUAAUAAUUUUUAUAUGUUUUAAAGUUAAGUUCAACCUAACCAAACUAAAAUUCUAUCAAGUAGGAACUAAAGUUGCAUCACCUAGAGACGAAUCAAACAAAUUACAAAUAGUGUUUUUUUUUUUUUGGUUUAAACAAAUAGUGUUUAGUUGGUUUGAGUUUAUAUAAACCAAGAAAACCGAACCUGACAAACUAAAACUGAAUCAAAACGAGUCGAAACAUACUAAUUUCAAAUCAUUAUUCACUAAACUUGAUAAAACCGAAAACCAAAAAUAAACUAAACCGCAAACCGGAUUUUCCACUCCUACAUAAAAAAUGUUACAAAGACAUUUGACUUUUCUUAUAGAUCUUUUUUUCUUAUAGAUCUAGGCAAUGCUAAAAGGCAAACGUAAGUACCUUAUAGAUAAGAUCCCAAGGGAAGCAACCAAUGAAAUCCAUGAGAAAAUGUGACUUCAAGUACCUGAAAAACAUGAUGAUGUAUAUAGCUUUAAGUAGAAAUAGUUAAAAUGCUUGUAAGGGUCUAAUAUAUAUAACUGACCGGAGAGCAAUACGUGUUGGUUUAUAGACAGUCCGGUAGGUCUGGGUAUCGCGGUAGGCAACAAAAAACAGAAGAACAAUAUCGACCAAGAACGCGAUCUGACCAACAAUGUCAAGUAUAAAGAGUCUCUCAGGCAGACCGCGGAAGAAACCAAACUCCAUUGGAGUGAACAAAGAAGAGUAUAUUGCCCACACCAAUAUGAACAUUUCCCAUGCCUUGUACCACCUGCUCAUAUUUUUCCAACUUUUCAUUAGUUCAGGUCUAGUCAAAGAUUCUUGAAAAAUGUAAAGAUUAUGGCUUAUACUUGAUCUAUCAACUUGGUAAUGUAGCUACGUAAUCGUGGGAGGGAGACAAAUGAAAAUAAUAGUUAAGUGCAAGCAACAACGUUUAAGAUUUUCAUUUGUUUAAGAUCGACGUAGCUGGACUUAGUUGAAUAUACAUUUUUAUUAGUAUAGUUUCGACAUUUUUAUUAUUUUAUACUAAUAUUGUUAUUAUGCUCAUAAGAACAAGUGGAUUAAAUAUCCACGUGUGUGGCCUCUGGUUACGGCAGCUUUAGUGGAACUAACUAAUAAUUGGAAAAAUAUCAUUAAAAUCUCCACCUUAUUCAAAACAUUGAUUUAAAUCCUUAACUUACGACGAAACGAAAUAAAUAUCAAACUUAUGUUGAUUUUCCAAAUAAAUAUUAAACUUAUGUUGACUUUCCAAAUAAACACCAAACUUUCAUUGACUUGGCCAUAUUAGGCAUGACGUUAAGUGAGUUAACAGAUAAUGUUAACGGGAUUAAUUUUCUGUUAACAGAUCCGCUAAUUAAAAAUGACAGUAUUGUUGAAAUAUAAUCAAAUCUCAUCUAAGUCAUAUAACCUAAAGUCGUAUUCAUAUAAGUUAGUUAUUUACGUAAGAGUCACGAAUGUACGUACGUAUAGUUGUGUCUGUUCGUAAAGUUGUGUCUUUUCGAUUAACACAUAUACGUACACGUUGUUUUGUGUUGUAUAAGUAGAUCGAGUCAAACUCAAUAACAUCAUUGUGUGUAAUACAUUUUCUCUUAUCAAUAAAGAUCAAGUUUCUUCAUACUCUAUUUUUCAUUUUGGUUUUGUUCUUCAUACUCUGUUAAAACAGAGUUCGUUUGUUGAUCCCGUUGAUCAAAACACUAACAAGUAUUUCUUCUAAACAUAAAACGACGUUGUUUUGUCGUAAUUAUUCAAUAAAAUCCCGAGUUUCAGAUCAUACUCUAUUUAGGGUUAGGGAUUUCGCUCGAUUUGGGGAUCGAAGAUUUACUUUAGGGAUUUAAUUCAAUCGUUACGACAAAACAACGUCGUUUUGUUGUUAUAUGAAACAAUGUCGUUAUCAAUUAACAUAUAUGUUAUCAGAAAAUUACCUCCGUUAACGAGAUCUAUUAACCCACUUAACGUCGUACCUAAUAUGGCCAGGUCAACAGAAGUUUGAUAUUUAUUUGGAAAGUCAACAUAAAUUUGAUAUUUAUUUGGAAAGUCAACAUAAGUUUGAUAUUUAUUUGGAAAGUCAACAUAAGUUUGAUAUUUACUUCGUUUUGUCAUGAGUUGAUGAUUUAUUAACCCACUUAACGUCGUACUUAAUAUGGUCAGGUCAACGGAAGUUUGAUAUUUAUUUGGAAAGUCGAUGAAAGUUUGGUGUUUAUUUGGAAAGUCAACAUAAGUUUAAUAUUUAUUUGGAAACUCAACAUAAGUUUGAUAUUUAUUUCAUUUCGUUAUGUGUUGAGGAUUUAAAUCAACGUUUUGAAUAAGUUGGGGAUUUUAACAACAUUUUUCCCAACUAAUAAUCCGAUCUUCGAUGAUUAUUUCUGACACAACCAUAAUUACUAAUAUAACCCCAGUAAAACCAAUUACCAGAACUGAAAAAUAAACAUUUAAGGGAAUGUAACAGCAUUCAGCCAUUCCUCUACAUUCAACUAUUCAAGUUGUUUAACGUAGAAUUUCUAUUUAAAGAUAGAUUUAAAGUUUGGUUUAGUCGGUUUCUAUUUUAGAUUUAAGGUUAAAGUUAUUCAAUAGGUCGGCUGCAUAUAAAACAAAUGCUUAGAUUUAGAGGUGAAAAACGAAAGAGAAGAAUAUGACAAGGAGGUGUCCCACCAUAUUUUUUAAAAAAUAAUAACAAUAAUAAUAUCGACAACAAAAUCACCUAAUUAGCAUCUAAUAUUUACUUUUGAUAAGUGCUAAAAUUAUUCAGAUUAUUAUGUAGUGGUUUUAAAAAAUCCUUUAUUUAAAAAAAAAAAAAUUUUAAAACUAGAUGGAAGUGACACUAAUAUUGAAUUCGAUUGGUUACACAACGAUAAAAAAAAAUUCUUUAACAGAAAAAAAUAAUAAUAAACAGUUUUAUAGUGGGAAAACAAAAUUUAACGGUUCAAAAAAACUGAAAAAUGUAAAUUUAAUAUGUGUUAGUAUAUAAUUUGAAGUUAAAACCAACUCGUUUCCAACAAAAUAGGGAGACAAGUAUUUUGAAGUGAAAGAUUUUAAUAAGAUUUCCAACAAAAAUAAUAAGAUUUUAAAAAAAAUUAUAGAGAAAGAAAAAAAAAAGAUAUUUUGAAGAUUUCAAGAAAAGUAUUUUCUACGUUUUUUUCUCCCGAUAGAAAGGAAACUCUUCAAGUGCAGGAUGAAGAGAGAGAAAUAAAAGUACCUGUUUUUGUGAUGAAUGAUGUAUUUAUAAUCAUUAUGUCCAUCGGUUUCAAUUCUCCGAUGCUCUGAUGAAUCAAGCCACCGAAACGUCUCUGCUAAACUGAGUUUGCCUCUUCUUGAUGAAACGUCGUCGUUUGAUUCCUCUUCUUCAUGAUCUAUAAUCUCUUGCCGUCGCCGGAGACGUCCCAUGUAUCCAAGAAUCGGUCAAAUCUCCGGCGAUCUCUCCAACAAAAAAGUCUCGAAAAAAGGUUUAAAACCCGAAUCAAAUCUUGAAUCUGAAACUGGAAACUUCGAUCCGAUCUCUUUGUAGUUGAUAAAUCUUGUAAUAAUGUCUUUCAAGUUGAAGAGAAAAGGCGGGAAGAUCACGAGAGCUGGUUCUUUGUUGUUUCGUCUUCUUUAGUUCUUCUUUCUCGUGAUGUUAAAAGCUCUUGAUUUUGUUUUUGUCGAGAAAAUACAGGUUUUUUUUUUUUUUUUUUGGUUUGGACGCUUAUUAGUUUGAAGUGUAUAACGUAAGGUUUUGUCUAGAAGAAUCGAAUUUAUAUAGGACAUCAGAACAUGUCGAUAUGAAUAUAUGAUACAUAUAAUUUUAUAAGUCUAAUUAAAAAAAAAAAAAAGUUGAAUCUUAGAAAUUAAAUAAAUGUGGAAUUAAAUUGUAUGAAGGAUUAGCAAUCUUUACAUACUGUUCAGACCUGGUGAAGAUAGUGUCUUCUCCAACCGAAUGGCCGGCGUUUUCAAUGUAUUUGGAGGAAUUUCAGAGCGACAAAGAGGAGUUUUCAUCUUUUUCUUUAUCUUUAAUUUCUCGUAGCGCUAAUGUUAAAGCGGAUAAUCUGGCACGAAAUGUUCGUACAGAACCGCAUUAUAUCACCUAUGUAAACAACAUUGCUCAGGAAUUGCUCUUUUGAGUUCUAAUUAAUUACGGAUGACAAAAAAAAAAAAUUAAUAAAAAAAUUUACCAGGAGAUUACGAUGCUUGUUGUUUAGGAUAAAUCUAAGUCUGGAAGAUGAUUUCCUAAACCGAUUUAAACCGAUUUUUGUGAAUCAUUUAUAGCAUAAUCGAUUUUUAAGGUUUAUACUGGACUACUUGAACAUUUCAAUAUGGGGGAGUUUCAUUUUAAUAAUAAAUCUUUGUAAAUUGAUACAGUAUAAUAAUUAUAAACAUUUAUGUGUUUGUAACAGGCUAAGAGCAUCUCCAAAAGAAGAUUCUCUCAAUAAUUUUAUCGGUUCUUUUGUUAAUUUGGCAAAAAAAUAAAUCAAAACAGAUAUUAAAUGAGAGAAUCGUCUCUCUUUAGAGAGAUUUGGGCAAUUGAGAGAGCUAUAUACAUCAACCACAAAGAGAGAUUUGGGCAAUUGAGAGAGCCGUAUACAUCAACCACAAAACCAUGACUUGAAUCCAUAUCUUCUUUUUCUCCAUCUCCCAAAAUUUGAUCAAGUGUUUUAAAAACCAAAACACAUAAAUUUGAUCAAAUGUUUAAUAUUUUUAUGAAUUGCAAUAAUUAUUAAGUUUUCUGAAAUAAAAUUUUUAAUAAUUUUUUUUUCUAAGAGAACUCCAUUAGAGAAUCUACCAUUGGACUAUGAAAAAAAAACAAAAACAAAAAAAACAAAAGUUUUCAUCUCACAAAUCUCUAAAAUUUGUACUCCAUCCGUUUCGUUUUAGUUGUCGUUUAAGGUUUUUUCACACAAAUUAAGAAAAGCAUUAAAUUUUAUGUUUUAUCCUUUAUUAAUAUAUUUUAUAAAAAUUUCAUUGGCUAAAACAUUAAAACAUUAGGGAUAAAACUGGAAUUUUCACCAAACAUUUGCAUUGAAAACCUAAAACGACAACUAUUAUGAAACAAAAUUUAAAUUCUAAAACGACAACUAAACCGAAACGGAGAGAAUAUUAAACAAUGUGAGAAAGUGUCGUAUUGAAAAAAAAAAGUCUCGUAUUGGAGAUGCUCUAACAGCAUUUCUUCUAGUUGUUUAACGUAGGAUUUCUAUUUUUAUAUACAGCACGUUUUGAGAUUUAGUUUAAAUUUUAAAUUGGUCGGCUUUGUAUAAAACAAUAGAGAAGAAAUAUACACAAAUAUGAAGACGUGUCCAAAAAAGUGAGAAUAUCGAUUAUAAAAUCACCUAAUUUGCAUCUAAAUAUUGACUUUCGUUUAUAUAAUGUACACCAGAGAUAAUUCAUUUUAGUCCGAAAUCUUAUUCUCUUAAUUUUUUUAAAAUCUUAGUUUAGUUAUAAUAGCUUUUUUUUCUAAUAUAUAUAUAUAUAUAUAUAUAUAUAUAUAUAUAUAUAUAUAUAUUUUUUAUUAUAUAAAACAUAGUUUUCAAAGUUAGUAACUUAUAGGAUUGUGCUAUAUGUCAAAUUUAUCAAUCAGAUGUUGACAUGGGUUAGAAAAAGUUAAUUUUUUUCUCUUAAAGAAAUAGAAAAACUAAAAAAAAAAACAAAAUUUACGUAUACUAAUUCAUAUAUCUAUAUCUAAAAAAAAAUAUUUUUUCUUAACCAAAAAGAAAAUUAACAAAUUUGUUUCACAUGUGUUAUUGGUCAAUAAAAUUUAGCAUGUAUUAAUUUUUAAAAAAUCAUUUAUUAUAUAUAAAAAAAUAUUUUAAAAAAUGUUUGUUUUCCAAAUACUUUUGUGGAUUUCUGUUUUUUUUAAUUAAUUAUGUUUUAUUAAUUGUUAAUUAUUUUUAAUAUUAACUAAGAUAUAGAUUUGAUAUGAUAUAAACAUUAUUUUGAUAUUAAAUUGGUAUCACUUAAGAUGAAGUGUGUAGAAUAAAAUCGAGUUUUUUUUUUUUUUUUUUUUUUUUUUUUUUUUGCCAAACACCAUUUUAUUAAGUAAUCGGACGAAGACUUUCUUCUAAGGAGAGCCAAUCCGGAGCCGAUGUGCUUACAUGGGAGAAAAGAGAACCUCGUGCUCUUGCUUUUUUUGCGAGGCAAUCAGCACGGACGUUGUUACAACGAGGAAUAAAUCUAAUAGAGAAAGAGGGGAAAGAGAGCUUCAAAAGCUUAAAAAGUUGUAAUUCUAGUGCUUAGGUAUGCCAUUCAGAUGAGUUAUCCAAAAGAGAAAUUAGCUCGGAGCAAUCAGUGGCAAAGCCGAGACUCGUCUUCGAUUCUGAGAUGAGGCAUUCCAUUGCCCAAAGAAGGGUUUCAAAUUCUGCUUGCAGAGGCGAUAAUCUCCGACGAGAGCUUUUCAUUCCCAUCAAGAUAGGCGUUUCUUUAUCCAUAACAAUCCAUCCGUGCCCACUGAGAGUGUCUUUGGCGUGCCAAGAACCAUCAAUUUGGCAUUCCGGUGGAGUAUCCCUUGUGAAUGUUGGAUUAAUAGGGAUCCUCACACUUUCAACGAGGGGAUCAUCAUCCUUAGUAUUUGCCGCCUUCCAAUCUUUCGCCUCUUGAAAGGCAUGAUCUAGUGUUGUGGAAGUCGAAACUAACACAAUCGAGAUUUGUCUAGGGUUUUAAUUUAGGGAUACGACUUGCGAGAAUUCUCAAAGAACAACAAAACGGAUCGAAACCAAAGAUGGUGUUCUUGAUAUUAUUAAGAAAAAGAUAGCUUUGAUCGUAAAAGAAAAAGUGUUUGCGCUUUGAGAGCUUUGUGUAGUCUAAAUUCUAGAGCGAUAUUGCUUGCCUUCUGUGAGAGCCUUGAGUCUCUUUAUAUAGGGAUGAUAAGCCGCCUCUCCAGCGAUAUUCUCGGAAGAUUUCCAUUUAUCUUGAAAUCGUCUAGAAUAUCGCGGAUUAGGAUAAUUUCCUUAUUCUUCGGAGUUUUUUUGGAAGAUUUCCUGAUUUGAGUCGAUCCUUCUAGAUUCUCUCUUAUCAUUUCCGGGUAUAUCGGAAAUGAUGCCUUGCUUGGAAAUGAUACUUCUGAAGGCGAAUAUUUACUAAGUCCUUGCCUCGGAAGGUCUUCCGCGUUCGAGCUCAUCGUUCCCUUCGGCUCGGAUGUCUUGGUUCUUUGCCUCGGGUAUCUUGCGAAGUUGGCUCGGGUGUCUCGUGAAGUUGGCUCGGGACGGGAGGAGAAUUCGGCUCGUGGAAGGCGGUGUGUCGGGUCCCGUUCCCGAGGCGAUACAGGAUGUCCCGAGCCGGUUUAGUCAUGAUUUUACCGAGCCGAUCCGGUGAUCGAUCCCGAGCCGAUCCGGUGAUCGAUCCCGAGCCGAUCCGGUGAUCGAUCCCGAGCCGAUCUGGUGAUCGAUCCCGAGCCGAUAUGGUGAUCGUUCCCGAGCUGUUUUGUAAGCGUUCCCCGAGCCGGUUUAGUGAUAUGUCCCGAGGUGUUAUGUCUUAGCUCGGACUUAGCGCGAGUGAAAUCGGAUCCCAACAGUUAGCCCCCCAGCUCGUUGUCUUGAGGAGCAAGUGAUGAGCUUCACGAUUAGUCCCGAGCUUGUCCUUGUACGCCGAGGCUAUUAGAGAGUUUGAAUCCUUCAAUGGACUGAAUUCUCCUGACGAUUCGAAUCCCUUUGACGCUUCAUCUUCUUCUAGCGUGUGACGAUUGAAUUUCCCUCUCGAGAAGUGGAAAAGUUUUUUACUUAUUCCCGAGAAUUUUGGCGGACGCGAAAUUAUCUCUGAGUCCACGCGCACCCGACGGGCCGAAGCGUUUUAUAAAUACUCCUCUCGCGAUUCAUUUCUUCAGUUCUGCAAUUCUCGAGCAAAAAUCUAAAGGUUUGUUUCUUUUGCUCUGAUCUUGAAUUCCUUUACGUUUCUUCUUUUCCGAUUUAUUUCCGUCGUUGCGCCGCCGUUGCUAGAGUUAGGUUGAUUUUGCCGAUCUCCUAGAUUCUACUUUUCCGAUCAUCCCCUAAUUUUCCCGAGCCAGAAAAUGUCGCUUUCAGAUUCAAGUGAUUCGACCCGAGGCAGAAGCAUUCCUCUUCAUAAACGUAAGAUGGUUUGGAGCGUCUCGGAUGGAUCCGAGGCCAGUUCAUCAAGUCGACCCGAGCCGGGCAGCGGAGCGGAAUCGUCAUCCGAUCAACGAGGAGAUCCGAGCCACUUUGUGGCUCGGGAAGAUGCAAUUGCUGAUAUAGCUCGGGAUGAGGAUCUCCCUGAUGAUCCCGAGGUAAUUUUGAAUAGGAGGACGCGUCCUCCGGCUUCGGAUGAGGCUGGAGUUUAUCGUUGGCAAGAGGUGCCCGAGCUGCCGGUUUUACCCGAGGUGAAGGGUGAAAUGGUUACUUAUGAUCCCGAGGAGGGAGCCAGGCUCCUUCAAUUAGCGAUUCAAGGCGCAAUGGCUCAAAGGAAGAAAACGCGAGCCAUGAAAGUGAAAAAACCUGAUCCUCCCGGUUCCACUCUAUCGACUUCAGACUCUCUUCGGGACUUAAAGGCACGUUUUAACUUCAGCGAAGGCGUGACUCUGCGAUUGCCGACCCCGAACGAGAGGGCUGAUGAUCCUCCCGAGGGAUUCUUCACUUUGUAUGAGGGAUUCUUCUAUUUCUGUUUCCUUUGGUUUCCGAUCUCGAGGCCAAUCAUCGAGUACAUGUGGUCAUACAAGCUUGCUUUGGCCCAGAUUAAAACCCGAGGCCUUCGUCAUUUGAUCAGGAUUCUGGUUCGCGGGAUCGAGACGUAUAACUAGGCCUGGGCAAAAUACCCGGAACCGAAUACCCGAACCGAAAAACCCGAACAAUACCCGAACCAAACCCAAACCCGAUUUUUAAAAAUACCCGAAUGGGUCCUAACCUCCUACCCGAAAAAAACCCGAACCGAACCCGAACCGAAUCCAAUACCCGAAUGUACCCGAAUACAAAUAUACACCUAUAAAUAUUAGUUAUAUUUAUAUUUAUAAUACCCGAAAUACCUAAAAUUACAAUCAUAAAUCCGAAUAUAUUAGGUAUUUUAGAUAUUUUUGGUUAUAUUUGGGUAAAGAGUAACCAUUGUAUUUUCGAUAAAUCGAGUAUUUCGGUUAGAUUUGGGUAUAUAUGAGUUAAAAACCCGAACCCGACCCGAACCCGAAAAUAUUUCGGGUAUUUUUGGUUAUUUUCGGGUAUUUUGCUUUUUUUAUUAAAAUACCCGAACCGACCCGAACCCGAACCGAAUCCGAACCAAAUUUUUAGAAUACCCGAAUGGGUCUUGACCCCCUAACCGAAUAGACCCGAUACCCGAAAAAAAAGAACCGAACCCAAACGGAUACCCGAAUGCCCAGGCCUACGUAUAACGAUGUCGGCCUUGAUCACCUGAGGAAUCUGCUGGAGAUUCGACGUGUUCCGGGCUGUGCGAUGGAGAGGUAUUAUAUCUCUCCUAGCCCGAGGAGGAGGGUUAUCGGUGGCUUCCCGAGCAAGGACGAAAAAUACACAGAUCACUUUUUCUUUGUCGCUCUUGAUGAAGAUUGUGUCCCCGAGGGCUGCCUCGGAAAAAUGAUUGGGAAAUGGAGAAAGAUUGGUAGUUUAUUUGACGUUUUGCUUGCUACGUGUUAUAGCUUGGAUUCCUCUACUGAUGCCCCUCUUUUUUUUUUUUUACUUUUUACAGACCGAGGCCCGAGCUUCCUGGACCGUAUUCCCGAGGACCUUUUCAGCAUACGCGAGGAGUUGGCUGCUCGGAAGUGUCAUUGGAUCAAGCAUUUUUCUCAAGUAAGAGUUGAAAAGGCGUUAAGGAUUCUUCACGGUGCGUCCUGUUCCACUUCUCCAUCUUCUUCAGAUCAGAGGCUAAGUUUUUUGACGGAGAUGCAAGGGGUGAAGAUGUCCUUGAGGGAAAAGAAGGCCGCCGAGAAGAAGGCGCGCGAAGAGCAGAUUGCGAUAGAGGCGGCUUUCGGACCUGUGUCUCCGCCCGAGGCUAUAGCGGGGACCGAGGCAACUACUGACCCCGAGGUGACUGUUGAUCUCGUAGAAUCGGGUGCUGAUUUAGCUGUCACCAUGGCUCUGUCCGGGGUGCUUGAUGGUAUCCCGGUUGGGGAUGUUGCUAACCAGGUUCCCGAGGCGGAGAACACACUGGUGGUUGGUUUGCCUGCUGGUGGGCAGACCAAGUCCAAGGGAAAGCAUCCCUGAGGAGAACAUUCCGGGGAUAAGCGUAAAAGGUCGAAACGGGCUCACAGCUCCUCUCGGGCAAUAUACCAGGACAAGGUCGCUUCCGCCAACCUUAUCGCUUCUUACGCUUGGCCGCUGCUUCCCGCCCUCGAAGGCUUAAUCGAGGCGGAGCGAUAUGGUGAGACCGCGGCGAGCUUCUUGAAGGUACGUGUUUGGAUCCAUUCUUGUACAAGGCAGUCUUGCUUCAGGACUUGACGUGUCUUUGUUUUUUUAUUCUCCAGGCCUUCUCCUCGAUGAACACGAUGGUUCAUUCUUACGACACAGGGGCUCGUGAAAACGCGCUGGCUAUCGAACGGUCUGAGUCCACUAAACUGAAGGCUGAGAAGGCGGCGGCCGAGGCUAUUGCAGCAGCGCAAACUGCCGAGGCGUUAGUUGUUGCCAAAUAGGAGGUGCGGAGGAAAGAGUCCGAGGAGAAUGCUCGAAUUCGUCGGAAGGCUGAGGCGGAGAUUGAAAGGCUCAGACGUCUGCUCACCGAAGAGAAGUCUCUUCGUGAAGUUAAAGUGGCCCGGGCGAAGAAGGCUGCCAAGAGAGAAGUCGCCGAGGAGUUUGUGGAGAAGGUUAAGAGGACCGAGGCAAAGUUGUCAGAGUUUGACAAAAUUUCCGAGCGGUACGUGUACUUCUCUCAAGCAAAGGCUAAUGCAGAGCUAAUCGCCGCCCUUGAAGCUGGAGGGCAGAUCGAAGACGAGAAGCUUGAGGUCAACAAGUGGAAAGAAGAGUUCGGGGAUGCCGAGGCUGAGUAUGCUAGGCUCGGGGCCGAGUUGCUCUGAGACCUCACAGUUCCUCUGGUGUCUCCUGGCUCUACUCAUGACAACCUAGGAAAUCGAUCGGUGGAAGGUGACCCGGUCAAAGUCGGAGUUACUGAUCAGGCUGGAACGAACCUGUAUCCCGCGGCUGCGCAUUGUGAGGAGCAGGAUGAAUAAGCUUGAGGCGUCUUUCUCUUUUGUUUUACGAUUGUUUAUCGUUCCUUUGUAAGACCUUCGCCUGGAUGGCUUUAUCCACUUGAACGUAAACGUUCUUUUUAAGUACUCGAAUCGUUUCAGGCUAUUUUGACUCAAAUGCAAAAAUUGGAUACCAGUGUUAAAUGACUGGGUUUCAUGAAUACGACUCUUUCGUCGAGAAGUUAAGUUCAGAUCCGUUUUAACUUCCGAGCCGAAAGUGAAAAGAGUCGUGCACCAGUGUUAAGGUAACUGGGUUUUAGCAAUCGUGACGUUAAGAAGUUAAUUCUUCCGAACCGUUUCAACAGUGUUAGGAAACUGGGUUUCGGUCACGUGGGACUAAUCUUUAUCGGUUGCAACCCGAGUUGAUAUAGUCGAUUGCCAGUGCUUAGAAGCGAACUGGGGUACCAGUGUCGAAGUCAACUGGGUUUUCUGAAGACAAUUUCUUUGUAGCCGGAUAUCUCCGACCAAAUUGUCUCGAAUGUUUAUAUAGCGCAUUGUAACCGAGGCGGUGAAAUGAGCCUUUCUGUCCGAGGACAUGGCCAUUGUCCGAACGAACUUUUAGCUUUAUAGGUCGAUAAGAUGACCAUAAAAGUUUCCGAGGUGACUUUCAGGAUAGACGUCGAUGAUGAAAUUUAAAAAUUAGCUAAAGAGUUUAGUGGGAGUAUUAUGUAUACGGACCCACUCCCCCCCUUUUUUAAUUAGGGGGGGUAGCUGAACUCGUCCGAGGACAAGCUGCCUACGUACCCUUUUCAGGGAUCAAGCCACUCCGUAGUUCAAGUACACGCGUACCUUAGGUUUUUAGCGGUAAUAUUUCCUUAGAUGCAUAGCGUUCCAGGAUCUAGGUACCGCUUUGCCGUUCAUUUUGAUGAGUUCGUAGACGCCGGGACGGACGACCUUUGCGAUCGUGUAAGGUCCUUCCCAAUUCGCGCCGAGCUUCCCGGCCGUAUUCUGGAAGACUUUUCGUAGUACGAGAUCUCCUUCGUGGAAACAACGAUGCUUAACAUGAGCGUUGUAGUACCGAGCUGUGGCAUUCUGGUAGUUCUAUAUACGGACCAAAGCCGAAUCUCUUAUUUCGUCAAUCAAGUCCAGUUCGUCUAGUAUCAUCUGUGUGUUAGAAUUUUCCUGUUCGGGGAGUAAACGUCUUCUUAUUCCCGGGAUUUCGGCUUCGGUGGGAAUCACGCACUCCGUGCCGUAGACGAGGGCGAAAGGUGUUUCUCCCGUGGCCCGCCGCGGCGUGGUUCUGUGCGACCAUAGUACUCCUUCUAAUUCGUCAGCCCAGCGGCCUUUCUUCGCAUCGAGGCGUUUCUUUAUUCUGUUGAGAAUCGUUUUGUUAACUGCCUCUGCCUGUCCGUUUCCUUGAGGAUACUGAGGCGUAGACUUGCUGAGGCGAAUUCCCCAUUUCUCGCAGAAUCCUUCGAACCGAGCCGAAAUGAACUGUGAUCCGUUGUCCGUAACGAUCUCGUAAGGUAUCCCGUGGCGGCAUAUGAUGUUCUUCCAGACGAAGUUCUCGACCUGUGCGUAUUUGAUGCUGGCAUAGGAGUCCGCCUCGAUCCAUUUGGAGAAGUAGUAUGUUAGUACGAGGACGAGCUUCUUCUGCUUGGAGUUGUGUGGAGGUCCGAUAAUGUCCAUGGACCAACACAUGAAGGGGUAAGGCGAUGUGAUGGAAGAAAGGAGCUCGGCGGGGUGAUGAAUCGUUGAUGCAUGUCUCUGACAUUUAUCGCAUCGUCGAGAGAAUUUUUCACAAUCCUUAACCAUCAUCGGCCAAAAAUACCCGUGCCGUUUUAUCUUUAUAGCAAGGGCUCUCCCGCCAGAGUGAUUUCCACAGGAUCCGCCGUGUACUUCUUCCAUGAUUUUCCGAGCUUCGUUUCCUUCGACACAGAUUAGUAGGGGUCCUGAGAACUGCUACUUAAAGAGCUCUCCGUCGAUCAGAGUAUACCAAGCCGCUUUUGCCUUAAGCUUCCGAGCUACCCAUUUUUCAGUAGGAACUUCUCCAUCAGCUAUGUUGCUUCGGAUGGGUCCGAUCCAUUUGGUAUCGCUUCCGUAUUCGGGCUCGGUUGUGUUUGCAGAUUGCUGGUCCGGAAGUUCGGCGUCCAUUUCUUCCAGGUCUUCCGUCUCCCGAGCUGUUAGUACUUGAUCUUCGCUACUGUCUUCAAUGCUCGGCUUUUCGAUGAACUCUACCGGUAUGAUCCUCUUCAGAUUUGGGUCGGAGGUUGAAGCUAGAGCUGCUAAGGCAUUGGCCGAUGUGUUCUCACCUCACGGGAUUCUGGUUAACUCGAACUCUCCGAACUGUUUUGCCAAAUCUUGCGUGAGAGCAAGAUACGCUUCCAUUCGUUCGUCGUGAGCCGCGUAUUCUCCAUUGAAUUGAUUGGCCACGAGCUGGGAGUCACAAAAGGCUCGCAGCUUGUUGAUCUGAAGUUCCCGAGCCAGCUUAAGUCCUGCUAUCAGUGCUUCAUACUCUGCCACGUUGUUAGUCGCGUCGAAAUUUAGCCGAAAAGAUUGUUCAAGGAUUUCACCCUCUGGUGAUGCUAAGCGGAUUCCGACGCCAGAACCUUGUUUUGAGGAUGAGCCGUCGAUGUGGAGGAUCCAAACAGCGUUGGGCGACUCUUCUCGAGCGUUUUCCGUAGGCAAUUCGAUGAUAAAGUCGGCGAGGACCUAAGAUUUUGCGCAUGUUUUAUUCCUGUAUUUGAUGUCGUACUCACUGAGUUCUACUGCCCACUUGGCCAGGCGUCCGGACUGGCUCGGACUGUGCAAGACAGUUCGGAGUGACACGGGCGCCAUGACGACGAUCGAGUGAGACUGGAAAUACGGUCGUAACUUCCGAGCUGACAUUACUACGGCAAGAGCGAGCUUUUCAGUUUGCGGGUAGCGUGUUUCUGCGUCGGUGAAAGUUUGCGAGACAUAGAAUAUUGGCUUCUGCUCACCUCUGUCUUCUCUGACUAUGACUCCACUUAUUGUUGUAUCCGAGACUGCGAUGUACAGAAAUAAUGGCUCACCCGGGACUGGUUUUGCUAACACCGGUGGAUUAGCCAGGUACUUCUUCAGUUCCUGAAAAGCUUCUUCGCGGCGAUCGGUCCAUUCGAACUUCUUGUUUCCACGCAGAGUAUCGUAGAAAGGCAGACAUUUAUCGGUUGAACAGCAGAUGAACCGGUUCAGGGCUGCAACUCUCCCGGUGAGGCGUUGAACUUCUCGCUUAUUCUGCGGCGAAGGCAUGUUUAGUAAAGCAUCGAUUUGAUUUGGAUUCGCCUCGAUGCCUCGGUGAGUUACGAGAUAUCCAAGGAAUUCCCCUAAUUUUACCGCAAAACGACAUUUUGUCGGGUUGAGCUUCACGUUAUGUUUAUUAAGCUGGCAAAAGCAGUCGCGUAGAUGAGCUAUGUGGUCGUUUUCUUCGAGGGAUUUGACUAACAUGUCGUCGAUAUAAACCUCCAUUGUUUUCCCGAGCUGCUCGGAGAAUAUCCUGUUGACGAGCCGUUGGUACAUUGCGCCAGCGUUCUUGAGUCCGAAGGGCAUGACUUUGUAACAGUAGAUACCUCGGUCUGUGAUAAAUGCAGUCUUCUCGCGAUCGUCGGGGUGCAUGAGGAUCUGAUUGUAUCCCGCAAAAGCAUCCAUGAACGAUAGCAACUUAUUUCCCGCAGUUGAUUCCACUAAGCGAUCGAUAUGUGGGAGCGAAAAACUGUCUUUAGGACAAACUUUGUUCAGGUCGGUGAAGUCGACAUAGACUCUCCACUUGCCGUUCUUCUUUUUUACCACGACAGGAUUCGCUAACCAAUUUGGAUAUCUUGCUUCGGAGAUCGAGCCGAUCUUCAGGAGCUUUUCUACUUCGGCAUUUACGGCGUCUGCACGAUCCUGACCCAAUUUUCUUCGCUUCUGCUUGAUGGGCUUGAAAGAUGGGUCAACAUUCAGCUCGUGGCAGAUUACGUCGAUGCUUACUCCAGGUAGAUCUUCAGCCGACCAGGCGAACGUAUUGAUGUUCUCCUUGAUAAAUGAGAUGAGCUCGGUCUUAAUUCCCUCGGUUAUGUCGCUGCCGAUUUCCACGCAUCGCUCAGGUUGUUCGUUGUCAAGACUGAUGGAGAUUACUGGAUCCGAGGUAGGCUUCUUCUCCUCGCGUGCCUCCUCGUUCUGUAAUUGCUAUAACUGUUUAGAUAUAGCCUUCUCUUCGUUCCGGCCAAGUUUCUACUUCUUGUGGUCAGUUUCGGCCUUCGCUUCGGUGACAGGGUUUCGGAGUUUGUGCGCUGCCAUAAAACACAUCCGUGAAUUUUUCUGACUGCCCCAGAUCGUUUUUACGCCACUAGGAGUCGGAAAUUUGACACACAGAUGAUAUGUUGAAGCGACGGCUCGCAUUAGAUUUAGCCACGGCGUCCCCAUUGUGACGUUGUAGAUGGUAGGUUGAUCGGUGACCGAGAAGUUGACUAUCUUUGUCACCCCGCCGGCUCGGACCGGUAAUUGGAUAGUUCCAAGCGUCAUCAAAGUUUCUCCUGAAAAUCCGAGGACUGGCCUCGGGGUCGGAAUUACCUGUGACAUGUCGAUGUUCAUUUGUAGGAGCGUUUCGCGAAAGAUCACGUCGAUCGUGCUGCCAGUGUCGACUAAUACUCGGUAAAUGUCAUGGUCUCCUAUCGCUAAUGUGAUGACGAGUGGAUCGUUAUGAGGCAUGUCGAGCCCGUUCGUCUCGCUUUCCUCGAAUGUGAUCACGUCGUUAGGUCGAUCGAAGGGUCUUGUCCAGUUGCUUGGCGCCUCGGCUCGGCGUUGAUAAGCUUUGAUUGCCGCUACGGUGUCAGGACAGUACGGCGAUCCACCCAUUAUGGUGAGGACUUUUUGCCGUGUAUUGUCUCGGUCUUUAUCUUGCGUCCCCCGGGUUCUUUUCUGAGACUCCUGAUUCCUUGGCUCGGGGUCUCUUCCCGAGUUGGUCUGUUCGGGCUCUGGCUCUGGCUCGAGGUCCUUAAGUGUGACGUUCGUCCCGAGCUCUCCAGCUAGGAAUUUAGUUGCUAACUUAGCGCCGAGGCUUCGACAUCUCGAGGUAUGGUGGCCAAAAAUUUUGUGGUGUUCGCAAUAUUCUUGAUCAUUGCUCGGUGGUUGAUCCCUUGUCCAGGUGAAGGAUUCUCUUCCUCGCCCACGGCCUCGGAGCGUGUCAAUCUGGUAGUUAUGGUAUCCCGAGAAAUUGCACCCUUCGUGAUGCGUAUACGUACCGCUCUCACGCGUCUUCUUCUGGACCGGAGGUGUCGCUUGGGUUUUCUUGGUUUUCUCGGCUCGGGGCGCCUGCUUCGUUGGCUCAUGCCUCUUUGCUAGCAGCGCCAUCUCUUCUUCAUGGGCGACGAAAUCCGAGGCUCGGUGCAGCGCGUCGCGAAUUGUUGUUGGUUUAGACAGGUUCAACUCUUUCCGGAAUUCUGACUUGUACCAGAGAGCUUUCUUCAAAGCCGAAAGGGCGGCUACAUCUGUGAUUCUUUCGACCUUGGCUAGCGUCGAUUUGAAAGUUGUGAGGAAAUCUCUAAAUGGCUCGGUGGGCUGUUGGGACAGAGACCAUAGAUCUGCGUCGGAGGUUCCGGGGUCGAUGAGCACGGAGUAUUGUUUGAGGAAAAGUGUUGACAGCUCGUCGAAACUUUCAAUCGAGUUUCGUUCCAAUCUUGAAAACCACUCUAUUGCGGGUCCCUUGAGGUGUUCCACGAACAGUAAGCACAGACCAGCGUCCUUCUCUCCGGGCUUGAACCUGGCUCGGGCCACGGAUAUCACGAAUGAUUUAAUGUGAACCUUCGGGUCGGUUGAUCCGUUGUAAGAGUCGAUUUUGAACUUCCCUAGAUUGGACAUCGUCGUUUCGGAAAUUCUUUUGGUGAAAGGCGUAUUCCGAGAUUCUUCCAAAAUUCGGUCGAUGUUAGGUACAGAGGAUGAAACGCUAUGUAUCCGAAAUCUGAAAUCGGAUUUUUGAAAUUUUUUUGGAAUAUAAAUUCGAAUUAAUAAUGAAAAAUCGAAAUAAAAUCAAAUAUUUAUGGAAAUCAAAUAAAAUCUGAUUGUACUUAUUGUAACUAAUAAUAAAAGCAUAUUCCAAACAAUAUAAUACAUUAAUUACGUAUAAUAAAUUUGUUCAUAUAUUUUUGGGACUAAUUCCAUAACAAUCAACGUUUUUGUCAUUAAUUUCGCUCAUUUUAGCUAAUUAUCAUUAAUUGAAAGAUAUUUUACUUGCUUUUAAAGAUUUCUAGAAAAUUUAUCACAAAUAACCCAUCUGUUUCAUAAAUCAUAAUUAUUACGAUGGGUAUAUUUAUAAAUAAUUUUACAUUUUCUCUACAAUUCGUUAUUAUGAAUAUUUAUAAGUAUACUACACGAUUCGUUCUACUAAAAAACACACACAAUAUUAAACGCAACAUAUGUAAACCAAUAUUCUUCCGCGGUGGAACGGGUCUGAUCCUAGUUAUCCUUUAAAAACAAAAAACAAUAACAUGUUUCUAACUAUUAAUGCAUAUAAAAAUUAUUUAGUAUCAAGUUAACUAUAGAUGAGUUUCAUUGGUAUGUUAGAUAAAACAUCAAAAUAACAGAAUAGUUGAAUAACUGUUAGCACAAUGAACUGACUGGAUAAAUAUUUUAUAUAAUAAUUAUACAAUGCUGAAAAAUUAGUUUUAAUAAAAUAAUCACAUUUUAUUUUUUUAGUUAUAUUUCUAGGUAAAACAUAUAAAAUCACGUUUUCAAAACUUGAAAAUUUGUUAAAAGCAUAAACAGAAAAUAAAUAAAAAAUCAAAUUUCAGUAAUUGACACAUCAUCCUUUAAAAAAAAUAAAAAAUUAACACAUGUCCAACUAUUAAUGCACAUAAAAGCUAUUUAAUUUAAAUUUAAGUAUGAGCCUCACUGGUAUGUCAGAUAAACAACAAAAUAACGGAAUAGUUGAAUAAUUGUUAGCAUUUAGCAGAAUGAACUGAAGUGAAUAAGUUUUUUCGUAUAAUAAUUUACAAUGAUGAAAAGUUAGUUUUAGUAGAAUAAUCACAAAUUUAUAUUUCUAGGUAAAAUGUAGCGGAAUCACGUUUUCAAAACAUAAAAAAUUGUUACAUUCAAUUUUAGAAACAACAUAAACGUAUCAAAUAACUCGAAAUCAUAAGUACAUAUUUUCAUUUUCUAGGGUGAUUUAAUCUUCAUCUUGGAAUCAAUGAAAAUGAUUUAAUCUCAAAACGAGCAAGUUACGAGAGCAAAAAUGAAAUAAUAGAUUUAAAAAGUUUUAAACAAGUAAGCGAAAAACUAAAAACUAGAAAACCAUAACAAGCAAACAAAAAAUCAAUUUAUAUAGGCAUUCCAUGAAUAAUGAUACAUAUAUAUAGGCAUAUAAACCUAGGGUUUUAGAGUACAUAAUGAAUAACCCUGAUGGGCUUAUUGGGCCCGGUUAUAAGUCCAAUAUGAUGUAUUAUAACACUCCCCCUUGGACGGAGUAACCGGACCUGAUGGUCAAUCGGGAUCUCGAUAAUACGCUGGGGAAUGUUGCCUCAUUAAAACCUUACCAGGAAAACCCAGUGGGAAAAACCAUGGUGAAGGAAAAAGAGUACAACACGCAUUACUCCCCCUGAUUAGAGCAUCACCGUAGAUCUCUAAGUCUACGCAUUCCUAUUUGUUGGAAAACUUUCUAAAUGAGGAAAAUUUCUAUUUGAGGAAACCUUCUAAAUGAGGAAAGUUUCUAAUUUGGGAAAUUUUCUAAAUGAUGAAAGUUUUCAUUCCGGGUCAUUUGCUAUUUGAGGAAAGUUUCUAUUUUAGGAAACCUUCUAAAUGAGGAAAGUUUCUAUUUUGGGUCAUUUGUUAUUUGAGGAAGGUUUAUAUUUUAGGAAACUUUCUCGGGAAUCGUAAAUUUUAAGGAUACGGAACAUAAGUUCGGUUUAAUGGUUUAAAGUUGGACCGGAAUAUUAGAUUCCGGUUUGGGCCGAAUUGAUUUCCGGUUUAGAAUAACCAGUUUGAACCGGUUUACCCAGAUUGAGAUCCGGUUAUUAUUUUGGAACCGGUUUGAUAAUCGGUUUAACCGAUGAAUCGAAUUGAUAUUCGGGUUUAGGAGUUAACCGAGAAUGAUUUCCGGUUUAGGGGAUACACGAAAAUUGCGGUUUUGGAUUUGAUUUGAUUUAGGUUUUAAGAUUUCGGCCAUGGCUUAGUGUUUUCGAUUUUGAGUGUUAGGUUUAAGUAAUACAAGGUUUUUGAUCUUUAAGCUUUUAAGGUUUUGUUUUUACCUUUCACCAAUUGGGGUUGAACGGAUUGAACCGGGAGCUUAAGACCUCGGUAACUCACGCUGUCGAUGAACAGUACCGAUAAACAGUGUCGAUGAACAGUAUCGAUGAACAGUGUCGGCGUGAACAGUAUCGGCGAACAGUGUUGAUGAACAGUAUCGGUGAACAGUGUCGAUAAACAGUAUCGAUGAACAGUGUCGGCGUGGACAGUAUCGAUGAACAGUGUCGGCAUGAACAGUGUUUUGCGAUUUUUAGGGUUAGGGUUGUUAAGAGCAAAUUCGUGCUGAUAACGUGUUGUGAAACUUAUUGUUGUCUCAUUCCAUUCCAUGAAUAAUGAUACAUAUAUAUAGGCAUAUAAACCUAGGGUUUUAGAGUACAUAAUGAAUAACCCUGAUAGGCUUAUUGGGCCCGGUUAUAAGUCCAAUAUGAUGUAUUAUAACAAAAACAUGAAAAAAAGAGUAGGGAAGAAAAUAUUUGAAACAUGUACAUAUACAAAAACUUGAGGUCGUGGAGAAAAGAAAUGUGAAUACAACUGGAAAUAAUCUAUAUAUACAUUUUUGGAGACAUUUAUGAAAUAAAUUCUGGAGUUCUAACUUAUUUACGAUCAAAUGCCUCGAAUUAUAUAUCUAUUAAAUAAAAUAUUAUUAAAAAUAACAAAAUGAUGUUUAAUUUCACGGGAAGGGGGUUAUAUAGUGGGACAGGUUUGGAUCGAUAUUAAUAUGGUACGGUAUUAAUAUCACGGAUGAAAUCUUAAAAUUAACAAUCAAAAUACAAUUAUACAAUCUUAAACACUUAACAAAAUAAAUAAUAUUAAAAAAUAAAAUUUAAAAUUUAAUUUUUUUGUAAAAAAAUCGACCCGCGGGGUAAAAUUUAGUAUAUUAAGAAAGUUAAAACUUUUUGCAAAUAUCAAAUUUUGGAUGAAACAAAAUAUGAAGAACAAGUAAAUAGAUGGAAUAGAUUAUUAGGAUAAUUAAAAUGAAUAAGAAAUUAAAAUAUAUAAAAGAAAACGCAAGAGAAAUUGACAAUUGAAUUGAACAUCUAGUAUAUAUAUAUAUAUAUGUGUGUGUGUAAUCUGAAUAUAUAUUUAUUUACAACAUAAAAUGAAAAAAAAAAUCGGCAAGUAUUAUGGGUUCUCUCCUAAUUACUAUGUAAAAGCUUGUGUAAAACAUAAUUAAACUGCUGUAAAAAAAGAAAACAUAAUUAAACUAUUCAAAUUAAACGACUUAAAUUAUAUAAUCUUAAGUUCUUAACAUGUCUGCCGGUAAUGUAAAAGAUAAUAAAUACUAAAAGCUAAUGUAUAUUUUUUUUGUCAAUUCAAAGCUUAGAUUAAUAACAAUAUCACGGAUAAAUGACACUUACACGUAAAUCUAAACAAAUGAGGAAAAUAAACUAAUUCGUACACGUUAACCUUAACCGAUGCAGCAUAGGUAUUUGAUAAUCUCUUUUUUUUUUUCUUUUUUUUUUAAAUAGACGAUGUUGAGAUGUUUAAAAUUGUCAUUAUUUAUAACCAAGUUGUCUCUAUCUGACAUAUAGUAGUAGGUACAUUGACCUAAAAGUCUCUAGGGCUAAUGGUUAAUUAGAAGUGAAUACAAGUUGGUAAUAUUAUAUAGAUAUAAAACAAAAAAUUAAACAUCACACUACAUUUUUUUAUAAAUCACACAAAUUUGAUACAGUAUUUUAGAGUAAUUAUUAGAAAUGCCCACUUUUAGAUACCUCAUUUCAAAAUUGUCCCAUAUUUGGUCAUUUUCAUUUUUGUUCUCUUUUAAAUUUUAGUGACCAUUUUAACCUUAUUUGAUAAUAUUUAACCAUCAACAAAAUGAAAAAGUGAAUUUUCCGGACAAAAGUUUUUAUGCCAAAAAAUUAUUUUGGGAGCAAAAAUGAUCCCGUAAUUUUUGGCAAGAAACGUGAUCCCAUAAUUUUAGAAGAGUUUUAAAUGGUUUUCAAAAGGAGUUGCAAGGGUUUUUAAAUAGAAUUACAAGUGUUUGAAAAGAUUUUACAAUUGUUUUUGAAGGAUUUUAUAAGAGUUUUCAAGGAUGUACAAGAGGUUUUAAAGGAUUUACAAGAAUUUUAAAAGGUUUUAAAAGGAUUUGCAAAAAAUUUAAAGAGAUUUUAAAAGGUUUUUUUUAAAGGAUUUACAAUGAUUUUAAAAAGAUUUUUAAGGGUUUUUAGAAGAUUUACAAGGAGUUUUUAAGGAAUUGUGGAUAAUUUUUGUUGGAAAAAUUUCACGGAAAAAAUUUUGGCGGGAUAAUGUUGCACAUUGCGGAAAAUUGUUGUCGAAAAAAUUCAAUUUCUCAUUAUCUGCUUUCACUAAAAGAAUGGUAAUUUAGUCAUUUUGUACAUAGAGAAAAAAUACUUUUGAAAAUGGACAAUAAAAAGAAGUAUUUUUCGAAGGGUAUAGAAAGAGGCAUUCUUGCAAAUAUCCUAAAAUUAAGAGAAUUUAACUAAAAAUAAUAAUUAAACGAUUCAAAUUCAAAAUUCUCGAUCACCAUUUUCUUUUCAUCUUAACAAAAUUGUUUCAUCCGUUUACGGCUGAGGAAGUGGUAGGUGCUGUUAAGAGUAUGGGAAAAUUUAAAGCUCCUGGUCAUGACGGGUAUCAACCAGUGUUUUAUCAACAAUGUUGGGAAGUGGUUGGUGAUUCCGUGACACGGUUUGUGCUUGAUUUCUUUACAACAGGAGUUCUUCCGCAAUCCACUAAUGAUGCUUUGAUAAUUGAUAGCCAAAGUUGCAAAGCCUGAACGCAUUACUCAGUUUAGACCUAUAAGUCUAUGUAAUGUGAUGUUUAAGAUCAUUACAAAAAUGAUGUUAAAUAGGCUGAAGUGUGUGAUCUCCAAAUUGAUUGGUCCGGCACAAUCAAGUUUUAUCCUAGGGAGAUUAAGUAUUGACAAUAUUGUAAUUGUGCAGGAAGCGGUACAUUCCAUGAGACGGAAGAAGGGACGUAUAGGUUGGAUGUUGUUGAAGCUAGAUCUAGAGAAAGCUUACGACCGUAUUUGAUGGGAUUUUUUGGAAGACACGUUAGAGGCUGCGGGACUGUCCCAGGAGUGGAUACACAGGAUUAUGGCGGGUGUUAGGGACCCAUCUAUGAGUGUUCUGUGGAAUGGUGAGAAGACGGACCCGUUCACACCAGCCCGUGGGCUUAGGCAGGGGGAUCCAGGCCUUGUUCUAAAAAUCGGCCGCCUAGCCGAUUACUCGUCCGCCUAGGCGCUCAUCGGAGCACCUCCGCCGCGAUUUCAUCCUAAUCACUCAAAAAAUCGGAAAUUUCUAGAAAAACUCAUUUUUGAUGAAAGUGAAGCUCUAAAUUGGUUUUUAGGUUGUAGAUCUAUCAUGUUUGGGUGAAAAACACUAGAAAAGAGAAGAAAAAACGAUAGUAAUCGUGUGAGAAAAAAAAACGGCAAAAUUAGGGUUACAGUCGUCUACAUUCUGAGGAAGAAGACGAGGGCAGUUAUGUCAUUUCCUAUUUCAUUAAAGCGAAAAAAUAAAAAAAAAGAACAAAACACAGUGUAUGAGAUUCGAACCCACGUUGC